rnacentral:rRNA from 1 species
UCCUGGCUCAGAUUGAACGCUGGCGGCAUGCUUUACACAUGCAAGUCGAACGGCAGCGGGUCCUUCGGGAAUGCCGGCGAGUGGCGAACGGGUGAGUAAUGCAUCGGAACGUACCCAGACGUGGGGGAUAACUACGCGAAAGCGUAGCUAAUACCGCAUACGCCCUGAGGGGGAAANCGGGGGAUCUUCGGACCUCGCGCGAUUGGAGCGGCCGAUGUCGGAUUAGCUAGUUGGUGGGGUAAAGGCCUACCAAGGCGACGAUCCGUAGCUGGUCUGAGAGGAUGAUCAGCCACACUGGGACUGAGACACGGCCCAGACUCCUACGGGAGGCAGCAGUGGGGAAUUUUGGACAAUGGGCGCAAGCCUGAUCCAGCCAUGCCGCGUGCGGGACGAAGGCCUUCGGGUUGUAAACCGCUUUCAGCCGGAAAGAAAUCGCCGUUUUAAUACAGACGGUGGAUGACGGUACCGGAAGAAGAAGCACCGGCUAACUACGUG